GACGAACGCUGGCGGCGUGCCUAAUACAUGCAAGUAGAACGAAGUUGCGAACGGGUGAGUAACGCGUAGGUAACCUGCCCCACAGCGGGGGAUAACUCUUGGAAACGAGAGCUAAUACCGCAUCGUGUUAGAGGGACCUGCGUUGUAUUAGGUAGUUGGUGAGGUUAAGGCUCAUCCAGGCGACGAUACAUAGCCGACCUGAGAGGGUGAUCGGCCACACUGGGACUGAGACACGGCCCAGUCUCCUACGGGCGGCAGCAGUAGGGAAUCUUGGGCAAUGGACGGCAGUCUGACCGAGCCAGGCGGGGGGAGUGAAGGAGGGGUUCGGAGCGUAAAGGUUUGUUAUUAGAGAAGCGGUAACUAACCAGAAAGGGACGGCUAACUACGUGCCAGCAGGCGCGGGAAUAC
rnacentral:rRNA from 1 species